rnacentral:tRNA from 1 species
AUUAUUUUGGCAGAAUAGUGCAUUGAAUUUAGAAUUCAAAUAUGUAAAUAAGUUACAGAUAAUA